CACGUAGGGGGCAAGCGUUGUCCGGAUUUAUUGGGCGUAAAGAGCUCGUAGGUGGUUCGGUAAGUCGGGUGUUAAACCCCCAGGCUCAACCUGGGGACGCCACUCGAUACUGCUGUGACUAGAGUCCGGUAGGGGAGCGUGGAAUUCCUGGUGUAGCGGUGAAAUGCGCAGAUAUCAGGAGGAACACCAGCGGCGAAGGCGGCGCUCUGGGCCGGUACUGACACUGAGGAGCGAAAGCGUGGGUGGCAAACAGG
rnacentral:rRNA from 1 species